GGAGGAUCCGAGCGUUAUCCGGAUNUAUUGGGUNUAAAGGGAGCGUAGGCGGAUNGUUAAGUCAGUNGUGAAAGNNUGCGGCUCAACCGUAAAAUCGCAGUNGAUACUGGAUAUCUUGAGUGCAGUCGAGGCAGGCGGAAUNCGUGGUGUAGCGGUGAAAUGCUUAGAUAUCACGAAGAACUCCGAUUGCGAAGGCAGCUCACUGGAGUGUAACUGACGCUGAUGCUCGAAAGUGUGGGUAUCAAACAGGAUUAGAUACCCUGGUAGUCCACACAGUAAACGAUGAAUACUCGCUGUUUGCGAUAUACAGUAAGCGGCCAAGCGAAAGCAUUAAGUAUUCCACCUGGGGAGU
rnacentral:rRNA from 1 species